rnacentral:misc_RNA from 1 species
AGAGCCACCGUCAGCUGACACCGCCUAUGCGGGUCGCUACGCAUACCGACACACUGCGCCUGCUCUAGUGCCUUUCCUUGUGUUGCGCAUAGUUACCCUCGCUUCCGUCCUUGCUUUUCGGUGACGAAUGCGCCGAUUUUUCGCGUCGCGUGUGUGUGUCUCGGCGGUGCUGGCACGAUGGAUGCACACGCGCGAUGACGUGCGCAACAUCGCGGUUAUCGCCCACGUGGAUCACGGCAAGACGACCCUUGUGGACAGCAUGCUAAGUCAGUCCGGCACCGUGGCGAAUGCGCACAAUCGCGUGAUGGACAGCAAGGAUCAGGAGAGGGAGCGCGGCAUCACUAUCCUGGCCAAGAACACAGCCAUUAUCCUGGACAACGGAAAGCGCCGCAUCAACAUUGUGGACACACCUGGUCACCUGGACUUCUCCGGCGAGGUGGAGCGUGCGCUGCAGAUGGUUGAGGGCAUUAUCCUCUUGGUGGAUGCUAAGGAGGGCGUACGUCCUGGCACGCGGUACGUCCUGCGCAAGGCCCUCUCCCUCCACCUGCGACCCAUUGUGUGUCUCAACAAGAUCGACAAGGACGACCUCAGCAUCGCCAAGACGGAACAGGCCGUCGAGGACUUGUUCCUGGAGGUAGCAGAAGAUGAGAACCAGCUCGAUAUGAAGUUCUUGUACGGCUCUGGGCGCAGCGGGUACAUGAACGAGGAGCCCAAGAAGGAGGGCACACUGACGCCGCUCUUCGACACCAUCUUCAGCACGGUGCCUGCCCCCAAGACGGACGACGAUCAAGCUCUGCAGAUGCUGGUCGCGCAGGUGGACGAAGACGAGAAGAGCAACACGAAGCUUGCGAUUGGCCGCAUCUACAACGGCACCGUGCAGACCGGCGACAUCGUCACGGUGGCGCUUGAGGACAAGCAAACGGACGCCUUGGUCAAGUCGAUUCACCUCUACUGCGGUGUGCAGAAGAUGCCGGUGACGAGCGCCAGCUACGGUGACAUCUGCAUCCUCGAGCUACAGGAGCCGAUCGGGGUUAAGGUGCCGCUAAAGAUUGGUGGCACGAUCGGCAAGCAAGGCGCGGUGAAAUUGUUCCCGUACAAGAAGCCUGACGAUCCAACGUACAGCCUUGUCCUGCAAGAAAGCGAGGCUAGCUGGAAAGGCAAGGAGGCGGCGGAGUCUAUGGGAAAUAUCACCGCCAUCCAGCGCCGGCUCGACCGGGAGGCAAUGGUGAACACGGCUCUGCAGGUCAAGAGUCUUAACGCCAAGCAGAUCACCAUGUACGGCCGCGGCCCGCUGCAUCUGUCCGUCAUCAUCGAAGACAUGCGGCGCGAAGGGUACGAGUUCGAGAUCCAGGCACCGCGGGUGCUCACGCGCGUGAUCGACGGCGUGGAGUGUGAGCCGUUCGAGCGGAUGCUGCUGGAGUUCAAAGACAACCUGGUGUCUGCCGUCGUUUCCUUUUUGAGCUCCAAGAUGGGCGAAAUCGGCGAAAUCGAACCGCUCUCGAACGGGCGCGUCCUCAUGGAGUGCGUGAUGCCGGUGCGCCUCAUGUCAAAUGUGCCGCUGAAGUUCCACACCCUCACUGGGGGUGAUGGUGUAAUGAACCACCACUUCGACUCGUACCGGCCCAUGGCCGCCAUCGAAACGGAGCGGGACACGGGUGCUCUUAUAUCCGUAGACAGCGGUGAGGUGACGGACUGGUCGCUCUCCGGUUUUAGCACGCAGGGACGCUUCUUUGUCCUCCCUGGCGACCAGGUGCAUUAUGGCCAGAUCGUCGGUGAGAACCAGAAGACGGCGCUGCAGAACCUGGGCGUGAACGUGUGCAAGCGCAACGAGCAGCUUGGCGGGAUGCGGGCUAACGCCAACGACAAGGCAAGCAGCAAAAGGGGCGCAUACAGCGCGGUACGCUACAACUUCGAGGACUGCGUCGCGUGGGUCACGGAUGAUGAGCUCGUGACCGUGACGCCCAAGUCGAUUCGCAUGCGCAAGCCGGGCUUCAACGGCAAGACUACCAUGCGCUCCCUGAAGAAGAAGUGAAGGUGCACGAAUGCACGCGCACAUGCACUGAUGCGUGCUGAGUGAGUUCUUCUCUGUACUCCUCAGUGAGCGUGCGUGCGAGUACCUCUGCCGAGUGUGAGAAAAGUGGUCGGGUAAAAGCUGGAAAAGGCGGAGAGUGGAAAGCAUGGCAGGAUGGCGACAGGAGGCCGAACCUUGUGCAUACGGCGCCUUCUCUGCACCGUUCUUUUUAGAGUGCACACAACAAAAAACACUCGUAGCCGCGCCCUGCUGCGCAGUGCCACUGCAUGGUGAUUCCUGUCUGGCGCCAUGCUUGUGACGCGGAUUCCACAUAAGCGAGCAAUAACUAACCGAACAAAAAAAAAUGAAUGACGUUUUGUUUGUCGUGGGAGGUUUGGCGUUGCCGUGUUGCCGUUGGCGAUUUGAUUUGUGUGCGUGCGUGUGUGUGUUGUGCUCACAGUCUUUUCCUUAUCUCGCUCACAUUGCGUGCCGUGUGCGCUUUUGUUGUUCUCCUUUGUUUGUGUGCAGUGGUGCAUGGGCAUGGAGCACCCCUCACUCUCUCGCUACUGUUCUAUUCGCACUGGCGUGGGCCGCUUGUGCGCUCACACGCGCAGAGAGGCGGAGAGAGGGUUAAGCGUCCAUCAAGCCCUGUCUUUGAACGAUGCAUCUCGCUCACUUACAUCGAGCCACACUUCCAUGAAGAUGUGCGCAGUCACGCGCUCCCUCCCCACCACC